rnacentral:lncRNA from 1 species
AUCUUUUUUGUGUUCGACAAUUCUCUGGGCCAAAGUUCUAGUUGUAAAGUCUACAUAGGUGGCUUUCUUAUUCUCAGUGGGAUAAUUAAUUGGGAUAAUCCCAGAUAUUUUGUCACCUAAGGCAACAUUAUAAAAUGACGCUCUCUCUUCUCUUUACUUGGGUAGGAUCUGCAAUCAUCAGGCUGAUUUGGACUAGAGCAGAUAAGUGUGCAUGGGGUCCAAUUAGAGAAGGAGUAUAUAUAUGGAACAUUUAAAAUGCCUAUUUAUAUAUAAAUUCAUAUUUAUUUGAAAGAGAGUAAAAAUUAAAUUGGUGAAUUGGUAACAGGAAUAAAAAGAGAAAAUCAAAGAAAUGAUCUAUAUUAUAUAUGAAUGAAACUGAUUACACCUAUCAGAUCUAUCGACUGCAAACGGGUUGAAAUACUGCUCCUCAAACACUCAAUGUAUCUGGAAGAGUUAGAUAUUUCAGAUGAAUCGGAACUAAAUUAUCCAAAAUUUAGACUCCUUUUUAGAAAGGGCAAUCUCUCUGUCUGUUUGAAUUCACUGUCUCCUUUCUCUCUCUCUUUCUUUUUCCUUAUCUGGGAAAGAUAUGAUUCAUUCAUUUAUAUUGUUGAUGUUUAUUUAACUUCCAUUCUCAUAGUCUGGCUCUC